UACGUAGGGGGCAAGCGUUGUCCGGAAUCAUUGGGCGUAAAGAGCGUGUAGGCGGCCCGAUAAGUCCGCUGUGAAAGUCCAGGGCUCAACCCUGGGAUGCCGGUGGAUACUGUCGGGCUCGAGUCCGGAAGAGGAGUGUGGAAUUCCUGGUGUAGCGGUGAAAUGCGCAGAUAUCAGGAGGAACACCGGUGGCGAAGGCGGGUCUCUGGGCCGAUACUGACACUGAGGAGCGAAAGCGUGGGGAGCGAACAGG
rnacentral:rRNA from 1 species